AGAGUUUGAUCCUGGCUCAGGAUGAACGCUGGCGGCGUGCUAAUACAUGCAAGUCGAACGGUGGGGAGCAAUCCCCAUAGUGGCGAACGGGUGAGUAACGCGUUGGCGACCUGCCUCGAAGCGAGGGAUAACAGACCGAAAGGUUUGCUAAUACCCCAUGUGGUAACAUGAACCAGAACAGUGUUACUAAAGGCGAAAGUCACUUCGAGAGGGGCCUGCGUCCCAUCAGCUAGUUGGUAAGGUAACGGCUUACCAAGGCGAUGACGGGUAGGGGACCUGAGAGGGUGGCCCCCCACAAUGGAACUGAAACACGGUCCAUACACCUACGGGUGGCAGCAGUAGGGGAUAUUGGUAAUCUGCGAAAGCGGGAACCAGCAACGCCGCGUGUGCGAUGAAGGCCUUCGGGUUGUAAAGCACUUUUCACCGGGACGAGGAAGGACGGUACCAGUGGAAUAAGCCUCGGCUAACUACGUGCCAGCAGCCGCGGUAAAACGUAGGAGGCGAGCGUUAUCCGGAUUUACUGGGUGUAAAGCGCAUGCAGGCGGUUCGCUAAGUUAGGUGUGAAAGCUCCUGGCUCAACUGGGAGAGGUCGCUUAAGACUGACGGACUAGAGCGUGGUAGGGGAAGGCGGAAUUCCGGGUGUAGUGGUGAAAUGCGUAGAUAUCCGGAGGAACACCAGUGGCGAAGGCGGCCUUCUAGACCAUGACUGACGCUCAGAUGCGAAAGCUAGGGUAGCAAACGGGAUUAGAGACCCCGGUAGUCCUAGCCGUAAACGAUGUGAACUUGGCGCUGGAUGGGUAAAACCGAUCAGUGCCGAAGCUAACGCGAUAAGUUCACCACCUGGGGACUACGGCCGCAAGGUUAAAACUCAAAUGAAUUGACGG
rnacentral:rRNA from 1 species